rnacentral:miRNA from 1 species
UCUAGAUAUAUGCAAAAUUAAAAACAAAGAUUAACAUACGAUAGCAUUCCUCCACUCGUGAGCUCAUUUUUGCUUCGGUAAAUGAGCUCACGAGUGGAGGAAUGCUAUCGUAUGUUAAUCUUUGUUUUUAAUUUUGCAUAUAUCUA